rnacentral:lncRNA from 1 species
GGCGGGGGAGGAGGCCCGGGAACGCGCACGCCCGGCCGCGUCCAGCCGGGGCCAGGAGCCGGCCGUCUUCGGGGGCGCGCACGAUUGGGCCGAGGCGGAAAAGGCCAUAGUAGGGGCGCGCACGCCUGGCCUCGGGGGAGGGGUUAGGGGGCGGGGCCCGAGAUGGGAGCUCGGGCAGGAGCGCGCGCAGGGCUCCGGCCGCCUCAAGAUGGCCGCUAGCAGCCUCUGCCGGGGCCUGCUGCGGGGCUCAGCUCGGCCCGUCCUCCUCCAUAACUCUCUGCCAUGGCAAGGGCGGGAGAAACACGGGGAGACGUGAAGCCAGCCACAGACCCAAAGGCUGCUUAGGUGAGGGUCACAGCAGCUUUGGGGACCGUCAAGAAACGCUAACGUGACGUAAAUGACGUACAUGUCGUCAGGCCGCCCCACGCUUACCCCCCCUUCCCCCCGCCCUUUCUGUGGCGGAGAAUGACGGGAAGAGGCGUCUGGAGAGGGCCGGCGUGUCGUCAUGCGACGCCCAGGACCUACGACGUGCGCAUGCGCAUUUCUCAUCCUCGCGUAGGGGCGGGAGAAGGGUUAGAAACGGCCGUCGCGUGACGUCAUGGGAUAGCUGCCCCACCCAGGGCCAUGAUUGGUUGGGGAAGAUGUGGGCAUACACGCAAAUUCCUGAGUCCGGAGCGGUUCUCCAUCGGAUCCUCAGCUUCUCCAUCCCGGAAAUGGGUUUAGCUGUCAAAGUCCAGACCGCUUCACCGCCGUCUUCUCCUAAUUACCUCCCCACGCCCCGGCGGGUUAGCUUUAGGGGACGGGGCACACUCCCAGCACACAUUUACACCCUAGAGGAGCCCAUGCGGUGUGUUGCCCCCAGACCCACAAUAAAACCCCAUUUUACAGAAGAUCUGAGGCUGAGUCUUCCGAGAACGACCCAGGAUCAACUAUUAUCCCACAUCAUUUAUUUGGUGGCCCAUAAGGACACUGUUUUCGGCUCAGACUUAAUCCAUUUCCUUCUGACCCCCUUUCUUUCCUCUCAUGCCUGCCACCUUCCAAUACCGCGCACUCUUGGGGGAGGGGUGGGGAGGAUUUGGCCUCUAUGGCUGGCAAGUUCUUCACUGGCCUCUACGACUGGUACGAAAAAGUCUGCAGGCCCCAAAUUUCUCCUCUGUAAAACCAAGGGACUUGGACUAGAUGAGCAGCCUCUGAUGACUGACCUUGUAGCUCUGUCAUCAUUGGCUCCAAUUCUACAUACAAUCUUCCACAGCUCUGAAUACAUCUUUGUGUUCCUGGAAAACCUUCUGGUUCCCCAUGGCUUCCUGAACCAAACAACUGCUGAUUACAGUAUCGUGAACUUUCAGCAAGGGCCAGACAGAUUCACAAGUGAAUUCUUUCAAACUUUUAAAGAAUAAUUAAUCCCAAUACUGUACAAGCUAUUUGACAAAGUAAGAAAUGAAGGAGUUUUACCAAAUUCUUUUUAUGACACAAAUAUGGUACUGAUACCUAAGCCAGGAAGACUAAAAACAGAAAAUUAUAGUCCAAUUUCUUUAAUGUACAUAGAUGCAAAAAUCUUAAAUAAAAUACCAGCAAAGAGACUACA